UGACCUUACGGUCACCCUGGAUGGCGAUAUGGCGCUGGCGGGAACUUGAUUGAUCAUGAAACACUCCACAUGCAUGCUCUUUGCAGACUUUGCUUGUAAAGUGAAUAUGAAAUGAGAACCAUGGAGAGAUUUAUGACGCAAAUGACAUGUUUUGAUGAUUAAGAGCAAAUCCCUCGAUUUCAGCAAUUAUGGAUCUGGUUAGGCCUACUGUUCUUAUCACUACAGUUUGACACCACCAAGGCAUAGCCCCGGCAUAAAUGUGGCCGAUUUACUGGACUACCUCCAUGUCCUCCCAUGGAACCCUAUUUUUACGUGUUUGAGAAAAUUCACCAUGAUCACGGAGAUCACGCGAGGAAGAGGAGUGUCUCCAACAUGUUAUCGUACCUUGGAUGGCAAGGGAAACCCACUGAUAACUCACAGAAAAAUGUUACCAAACUUGAAAAAGUACAUGAGCGCUCUGCAGCCAGAUUUGUUUGCAGCGAGCGACUGUAGCAGGCAUAGCAGUGUGACAUCAAUGCUUGA